CACAUGCAAGUCGAACGGUAACAGGGAUUGCUUGCAAUCCGCUGACGAGUGGCGCACGGGUGCGUAACGCGUAUGCAACCUACCUCUUACAGGAGGAUAGCCCCGAGAAAUCGGGAUUAAUACUCCAUAGUAUCAUAAUAUCGCAUGGUGUAAUGAUUAAAACUCCGGUGGUAAGAGAUGGGCAUGCGUGACAUUAGCUAGUUGGUGAGGUAACGGCUCACCAAGGCGACGAUGUCUAGGGGUUCUGAGAGGAUUAUCCCCCACACUGGUACUGAGACACGGACCAGACUCCUACGGGAGGCAGCAGUGAGGAAUAUUGGUCAAUGGGCGCAAGCCUGAACCAGCCAUGCCGCGUGCAGGAUGACUGCCCUAUGGGUUGUAAACUGCUUUUAUAUGGGAAGAAACCCUCCUACGUGUAGGAGCUUGACGGUACCAUAUGAAUAAGGAUCGGCUAACUCCGUGCCAGCAGCCGCGGUAAUACGAAGGGACCUAGCGUAGUUCGGAAUUACUGGGCUUAAAGAGUUCGUAGGUGGUUGAAAAAGUUGGUGGUGAAAUCCCAGAGCUUAACUCUGGAACUGCCAUCAAAACUUUUCAGCUAGAGUAUGAUAGAGGAAAGCAGAAUUUCUAGUGUAGAGGUGAAAUUCGUAGAUAUUAGAAAGAAUACCAAUUGCGAAGGCAGCUUUCUGGAUCAUUACUGACACUGAGGAACGAAAGCAUGGGUAGCGAAGAGGAUUAGAUACCCUCGUAGUCCAUGCCGUAAACGAUGUGUGUUAGACGUUGGAAAUUUAUUUUCAGUGUCGCAGCGAAAGCGAUAAACACACCGCCUGGGGAGUACGACCGCAAGGGUA
rnacentral:rRNA from 1 species